rfam:Eucalyptus grandis cultivar BRASTZ1 unplaced genomic scaffold scaffold_2, whole genome shotgun sequence.
UCGUGCCUCCGAUGCUAUUACUUUGAAAAAAUUAGAGUGUUCAAAGUAAGCCUACGCUCUGUAUACAUUAGCACGGGAUAACAUCAUAGGAUUCCGGUCCUAUUAUGUUGAAUUUCGGGAUCGAAGUAAUGAUUAAUAUGGACAGUUGGAGGAAUGCGUAUUUUAUACUUAGAGGUGAAAUUCUUAGAUUUAUGAAAGACGAACAACUGCAAAAGCAAGUUUAAAGUGGAUAAUUU